CUCUAGCUACUGCAGUUACAGGUAUCUAACUAGAUGAUUUUAGCCUCCUCAGUAGUGUAUGCAGCCUGUUGCCUAUACGGGUUGCCCUAACGGACGUUGGAGACAGCC
rnacentral:snoRNA from 1 species